UGAGCAGUGUUUGGGAUACUAAUGUUGAAACAUUUACAGUAACUGCUGUGAAAAUCUCUGCAGUUUCCCAGCAAGAGACAGUGAUUCUACAUGGGAUUGUUGCCUCAUGAUCAGCACACAGUGGGAUGGGAAAUGGGACACAAAAAGACUGCCAGUGAGGAAGUCCUCUUCUGCACUUAAUUAGACUGAAAUGUAAUUUUUUUUUCUUUUUUUUCUUUUCUUUUUUUUUUUCCGUUUUUUUUUUUUUUUUUUUUUUUUUCUUCCCCCUUUUACAGUCAUCCCUGUGGUCUGCAUUAAUGACAUUAUCUCCCUGGAGAUCAUUAUCUGGUGAUUGCAUCCCGUCAUGGAUUGUUCUCAGUGACCUGAGUGCUACUGAUGAUCUAACUGGCAUAAACUAUAAUUGAUGUGAAUCCUCACAAGUGUCCGGUCUUCGUGCCUAAACUUUUUUCAACAGCUAUUUACUGCUACAACACUGUAAUCAGGAUCAGGUAGCUGGAGUCUUAAUUGUGUCACUAGAAUUUUCAGCACGGUAAGUAAAUAUGAGAUGACUUCUCUGCUUCUCGUUUCUACGA
rnacentral:lncRNA from 1 species